AGUGACGGUACCUGCAGAAGAAGUACCGGCUAACUACGUGCCAGCAGCCGCGGUAAUACGUAGGGUACGAGCGUUGUCCGGAAUUAUUGGGCGUAAAGAGCUCGUAGGUGGUUGGUCACGUCUGCUGUGGAAACGCAACGCUUAACGUUGCGCGUGCAGUGGGUACGGGCUGACUAGAGUGCAGUAGGGGAGUCUGGAAUUCCUGGUGUAGCGGUGAAAUGCGCAGAUAUCAGGAGGAACACCGGUGGCGAAGGCGGGACUCUGGGCUGUAACUGACACUGAGGAGCGAAAGCAUGGGGAGCGAACAGGAUUAGAUACCCUGGUAGUCCAUGCCGUAAACGUUGGGCACUAGGUGUGGGGGACAUUCCACGUUCUCCGCGCCGUAGCUAACGCAUUAAGUGCCCCGCCUGGGGAGUACGGUCGCAAGGCUA
rnacentral:rRNA from 1 species